GGAUUGUGGCUCAGUGGUAGAAUGCUUGCCUCAUGUGUGAGGCACUGGGUUCAAUUCUCAGCACCA
rnacentral:tRNA from 1 species